UACAGAGGUCUCAAGCGUUGUUCGGAUUCAUUGGGCGUAAAGGGUGUGUAGGUGGCGCGCUAAGUCGGGUGUGAAAUUUCGGAGCUUAACUCCGAAACUGCAUUCGAUACUACCGUGCUUGAGGACUGGAGAGGAGACUGGAAUUUACGGUGUAGCGGUGAAAUGCGUAGAUAUCGUAAGGAAGACCAGUGGCGAAGGCGGGUCUCUGGACAGUUCCUGA
rnacentral:rRNA from 1 species